AACCGCAUAGGGGAGCCGGAGGGAAACCGAGUCUUAAUUGGGCGUUAAGUUGCAGGGUAUAGACCCGAAACCCGGUGAUCUAGCCAUGGGCAGGUUGAAGGUUGGGUAACACUAACUGGAGGACCGAACCGACUAAUGUUGAAAAAUUAGCGGAUGACCUGUGGCUGGGGGUGAAAGGCCAAUCAAACCGGGAGAUAGCUGGUUCUCCCCGAAAGCUAUUUAGGUAGCGCCUCGUGAAUUCAUCUCCGGGGGUAGAGCACUGUUUCGGCUAGGGGGCCAUCCCGGCUUACCAACCCGAUGCAAACUGCGAAUACCGGAGAAUGUUAUCACGGGAGACACACGGCGGGUGCUAACGUCCGUCGUGAAGAGGGAAACAACCCAGACCGCCAGCUAAGGUCCCAAAGUCAUGGUUAAGUGGGAAACGAUGUGGGAAGGCCCAGACAGCCAGGAUGUUGGCUUAGAAGCAGCCAUCAUUUAAAGAAAGCGUAAUAGCUCACUGGUCGAGUCGGCCUGCGCGGAAGAUGUAACGGGGCUAAACCAU
rnacentral:rRNA from 2 species